GGGUGUAUAGCUCAGUGGUAGAGUGCAUGCUUAGCAUGCACAAGGUCCGGGGUUUGAUCCCCAGUACCUCCU
rnacentral:tRNA from 1 species